rnacentral:ncRNA from 1 species
UUAAACCAUUUGAAGAGAAGAGUAAUCUUACUUGGAAUUUUACAGAGAACCCCGUUUGGUGAAAGGGGCAAAGGAAAAGAAAGAUGAACAUGGCCUCUGAUGGGAUUAGUCGAUAUUAGACUUUUACGGGAGCUCCCGUUACAGAGAUAGAGUAUGUUGGUACUUGAGAGUGGCAUUUAUGCAAAAUAGGUGGUAACGCGGAAAAUUUCGUCCUUAUU